rnacentral:rRNA from 1 species
UCCAGACUCCUACGGGAGGCAGCAGUGGGGGAUAUUGCACAAUGGGGGAAACCCUGAUGCAGCGACGCCGCGUGGGCGAAGAAGUACUUCGGUAUGUAAAGCCCUAUCAGCAGGGAAGAAGAAAUGACGGUACCUGAGUAAGAAGCACCGGCUAAAUACGUGCCAGCAGCCGCGGUAAUACGUAGGGGGCAAGCGUUAUCCGGAUUCACUGGGUGUAAAGGGAGCGUAGACGGCGACGCAAGUCUGGAGUGAAAGCCCGGGGCCCAACCCCGGGACUGCUCUGGAAACUGCGUCGCUGGAGUACGGGAGGGGCAGGCGGAAUUCCUGGUGUAGCGGUGAAAUGCGUAGAUAUCAGGAGGAACACCGGCGGCGAAGGCGGCCUGCUGGACCGUGACUGACGUUGAGGCUCGAGAGCGUGGGGAGCAAACAGGAUUAGAUACCCGCGUA